AGAAUCAACGCUGGCGGCGUGCCUAACACGUGCAAGUCGAACGGGAAAGUGGGAGCAAUCCCACGAGUAAAGUGGCGCACGGGUGAGUAACACGUGACUAACCUACCCUUGAGUGGGGGAUAACCUAGGGAAACCUGGGCUAAUACCGCAUAAUACCUACGGGUCAAAGGAGCAAUUCGCUUUAGGAGGGGGUCGCGGCAGAUUAGUUAGUUGGCGGGGUAAUGGCCCACCAAGACAGUGAUCUGUAUCCGGCCUGAGAGGGCGCACGGACACACUGGAACUGAAACACGGUCCAGACUCCUACGGGAGGCAGCAGUGGGGAAUUUUGCGCAAUGGGGAAACCCUGACGCAGCAACGCCGCGUGGAGGAUGAAGCCCCUUGGGGCGUAAACUCCUUUCGAUCGGGAAGAUAAUGACGGUACCGGAAGAAGAAGCCCCGGCUAACUUCGCGCCAGCAGCCGC
rnacentral:rRNA from 1 species